rfam:Populus trichocarpa scaffold_15_contig_173, whole genome shotgun sequence.
GCUGGAGUGUUCCAAAGGGAUCGCAUUGAUCUAAUGACUCUCGAUGUCUAAAUCAUAUUAAUGUUUAGUUUUUUCGUUGGAUCAUGCGAUCCCUUAGGAAUUUUCCAG